AGAAAAAACAUGCACUGUUGUACUAUUUGAAAUAGUGACACAUAAUUUAAUAUUUCAACUUUGCAUAAAGCUUCUUUGCGUAGAACUGAACAAAUCACAUUACCAGUAGUUUCCUCAGGAUUGGGGGUUUCUACUUAAAAAUGUUUAUUUAUCAUGUGUAUAUGUGUUCCUUAUCUGUCUGUGUACCGCAUUAGUGCAGUAUCCUGAGAGGUCUCUAUUACAUAGGUCAAAUCCUCGGAUGAAUGCUGAGGGGCCUAAUGAACAAAACGGACUUUGCCACUAGGCUCUCCAGUGUCCCUACCUGUUAGAGAGUAUAGAUGGUAUCACACCCCCUCCCUGAGGCCCUUCCCCAUACAUACAGCCAUUUUGACUGCCCCUUUUGACCUUCCUUGGCCACUGCACCUGGCUCCCCUAUCUCCCCUCCCGCCCUUCUCAUGUGACUCAGGGUCAUGUCCGCCUGGACUCUCCUGGAUGUCCCUGCCUCUGGCUGUGCUCUCUCACAUAUCUACAACAGUUGCCUGCAAUAUCCACAGUGUAUGCCUACAGUGUGGUACUGGGGGUCUAGUAUUAACAAAAAAUAAAAGGAA
rnacentral:lncRNA from 1 species